GACACAUGACCAUAAAUGCUAA
rnacentral:miRNA from 1 species